rnacentral:rRNA from 1 species
AUGCUGUGAAACUGCGAAUGGCUCAUUAAAUCAGUUAUCGUUUAUUUGAUAGUACCUUACUACUUGGAUAACCGUGGUAAUUCUAGAGCUAAUACAUGCUGAAAACCCCAACUUCGGGAGGGGUGUAUUUAUUAGAUAAAAAACCAACGCCCUUCGGGGCUUCUUGGUGAUUCAUGAUAACUUUACGGAUCGCAUGGCCUUGCGCCGGCGACGGUUCAUUCAAAUUUCUGCCCUAUCAACUUUCGAUGGUAAGGUAUUGGCUUACCAUGGUUUCAACGGGUAACGGGGAAUUAGGGUUCGAUUCCGGAGAGGGAGCCUGAGAAACGGCUACCACAUCCAAGGAAGGCAGCAGGCGCGCAAAUUACCCAAUCCCGACACGGGGAGGUAGUGACAAUAAAUACUGAUACAGGGCUCUUUUGGGUCUUGUAAUUGGAAUGAGUACAAUUUAAACCUCUUAACGAGGAACAAUUGGAGGGCAAGUCUGGUGCCAGCAGCCGCGGUAAUUCCAGCUCCAAUAGCGUAUAUUAAAGUUGUUGCAGUUAAAAAGCUCGUAGUUGAACCUUGGGUCUGGCUGGCGGGUCCGCCUCACCGCGUGUACUUGUCCGGCCGGGCCUUCCUUCUGGAGAACCUCAUGCCCUUUACUGGGCGUGUUGGGGACCAGGACUUUUACUUUGAAAAAAUUAGAGUGUUCAAAGCAGGCCUUUGCUCGAAUACGUUAGCAUGGAAUAAUAGAAUAGGACGUGCGGUCCUAUUUUGUUGGUUUCUAGGACCGCCGUAAUGAUUAAUAGGGACAGUCGGGGGCAUCAGUAUUCAAUUGUCAGAGGUGAAAUUCUUGGAUUUAUUGAAGACUAACUACUGCGAAAGCAUUUGCCAAGGAUGUUUUCAUUAAUCAGUGAACGAAAGUUAGGGGAUCGAAGACGAUCAGAUACCGUCGUAGUCUUAACCGUAAACUAUGCCGACUAGGGAUCGGGCGAUGUUCUUUUUCUGACUCGCUCGGCACCUUACGAGAAAUCAA